GAAAGUAAGUAAGGGCGUAUGGGGGAUGCCUAGGCUCUUGGAGGCUAAGAAGGACGUGGUAAGCUGCGAAAAGCUGCGGGGAUUUGCAAACGAGACUCGAUCCGCAGAUAUCCGAAUGGGACAACCCGGCAGGUAGAAGACCUGUCACACCGCGAGGUGAGCUAACCCUCUGAACUGAAACAUCUAAGUAGGAGGAGGAAAAGAAAGAAACAUCGAUUUCCAAAGUAGCGGCGAGCGAAAUGGAAGAAGCCCAAACCGAUAUUGUUACGGCAAUAUCGGGGUUGUAGGACUGCAAUAUUCAAUUAACAAUGAACUGGAAUGGUCUGGAAAGUCCAUCCAUAGAGAGUGAAAGGCUCGUACAGGUAAGUUUGUUAUGCGAAAGCAGUAUCCUGAGUAUGGCGGGACACGAGGAAUCCUGUCAGAAUCAGCCGGGACCACCCGGUAAGGCUAAAUACUCCCAAGAGACCGAUAGUGGACCAGUACUGUGAAGGAAAGGUGAAAAGAACCCCGAACAGGGGAGUGAAAUAGAACCUGAAACCAUACGCUUACAACCGGUCGGAGCAGCUUCGUGCUGUGACGGCGUGCCUAUUGAAUAAUGAGCCUACGAGUUACUAAUCACUAGCGAGGUUAAGUGCAAGGAUGCACGGAGCCGAAGCGAAAGCGAGUCUGAACAGGGCGUUUAGUUAGUGGUUGUAGACGCGAAACCUUGCGAUCUACCCUUGAGCAGGUUGAAGGUUGGGUAAAACCAACUGGAGGACCGAACGAAUAAGCGUUGAAAAGCUUCUCGAUGACUUGAGGGUAGGGGUGAAAGGCUAAUCAAGCUGGGAAAUAGCUCGUACUCCCCGAAAUGCCUUUUGGGGCAGCGUUGUAAUAAAGAGUCUACUGGAGGUAGAGCUACUGAUUGGAUGCGGGGGCUUCACCGCCUACCAAAUCCUGACAAACUCCGAAUGCCAGUAGUAUGAUUUACAGCAGUGAGUGACUGGGUGCUAAUGUCCAGUCGCAAAAGAGGAACAACUCAGACCAGCAACUAAGGUCCCGAAGAAUAUGCUAAGUUGAUCUAACGAUGUUUUGUUGCAGAGACAGCUAGGAUGUUAGCUUGGAAGCAGCUAUUCAUUCAAAGAGUGCGUAACAGCUCACUAGUCGAGCGACAGAGCGUGGAUAAUAAACGGGCAUCAAGCAUAUCACCGAAGUUCUGGGCGCGAGAGCGCGGUAGGGGAGCAUUCCAUUCAGCGUCGAAGCAGUUUCGUGAGGAAUUGUGGAGCGUAUGGAAAAGCAAAUGUAGGCAUGAGUAACGAUAAUGCGGGAGAGUAACCCGCACACCGCAAGACCAAGGUUUCCUGAUCAACGCUAAUCGGAUCAGGGUUAGUCGGGUCCUAAGGGUAAGCCGAACGGCGAUCUCGAUGGAUAAUCGGUUAAUAUUCCGAUACUAACAUAUACCUCGAUGGAGAGACGAAGGAACGUAAGUGCCGCCACCUGACGGAAUAGGUGGUUAAAGGGCGUAGGUAUAGGGGCAGAUUAAGAGUUAGUCCUUGCUGAAACCUGACAGUACAGAGAGCCUACGGGCAAUUUGAUAGAGCACCCAAGUCGACUUCCGAGAAAAUCUUCUAAGUUAUAGUAUAUGUUACCCGUACCGUAAACCGACACAGGUGGUCGAGGAGAGUAUCCUAAGGUGCUCGAGUGAAUCACGGUUAAGGAACUAGGCAAAUUAACCCCGUAACUUCGGGAAAAGGGGUCCCUAUGAAAGUAGGGCGCAGCGAAGAGGUCCAGGCGACUGUUUAUCAAAAACACAGGGCUCUGCAAAUUCGAAAGAAGACGUAUAGGGCCUGACACCUGCCCGGUGCUGGAAGGUUAAGAGGGGAUGUCAUCGCAAGAGAAGCAUUGAAUCGAAGCCCCAGUAAACGGCGGCCGUAACUAUAACGGUCCUAAGGUAGCGAAAUUCCUUGUCGGGUAAGUUCCGACCUGCACGAAUGGUGUAACGAUCUGGACACUGUCUCAACCGUGAGCUCGGUGAAAUUGUAGUCCCGGUGAUGAUGCCGGGUACCCGCAACGGGACGAAAAGACCCCGUGAACCUUUACUAUAGCUUAACGCUGAAUUUGGGUACACAAUGUGUAGGAUAGGCCGGAGGCUUUGAAGCGGGCACGCCAGUGUUCGUGGAGCCGACGUUGAAAUACGGCCCUUUGUGUAUUUGAGUUCUAACCCUGCGAAGGGGACACCGUUUGGUGGGUAGUUUGACUGGGGUGGU
rnacentral:rRNA from 1 species